rnacentral:rRNA from 1 species
GAUGAACGCUGGCGGCGUGCCUAAUACAUGCAAGUCGAGCGAACAGACGAGGAGCUUGCUCCUCUGACGUUAGCGGCGGACGGGUGAGUAACACGUGGAUAACCUACCUAUAAGACUGGGAUAACUUCGGGAAACCGGAGCUAAUACCGGAUAAUAUAUUGAACCGCAUGGUUCAAUAGUGAAAGACGGUUUUGCUGUCACUUAUAGAUGGAUCCGCGCCGCAUUAGCUAGUUGGUAAGGUAACGGCUUACCAAGGCAACGAUGCGUAGCCGACCUGAGAGGGUGAUCGGCCACACUGGAACUGAGACACGGUCCAGACUCCUACGGGAGGCAGCAGUAGGGAAUCUUCCGCAAUGGGCGGAAGCCUGACGGAGCAACGCCGCGUGAGUGAUGAAGGUCUUCGGAUCGUAAAACUCUGUUAUUAGGGAAGAACAAAUGUGUAAGUAACUAUGCACGUCUUGACGGUACCUAAUCAGAAAGCCACAGCUAACUACGUG